GAUGAACGCUGGCGGCGUGCCUAAUACAUGCAAGUCGAGCGAACAGACGAGGAUCUUGCUCCUCUGACGUUAGCGGCGGACGGGUGAGUAACACGUGGAUAACCUACCUAUAAGACUUGGAUAACUUCGGGAAACGGGAGCUAAUACCGGGUAAUAUAGUUAACCGCAUGGUUCAAUAGUGAUAGAGGGGUUGGCGGUCACUUAGAGAUGGAUCCGCGCCUCAUUAGCUAAUUGGUAAGGUAACGGCUUACCGAGGCAACGAUGCGUAGCCGAGCUGAGAGCGUGAAGGGGCCCACUGGGAGUGAGACACGGUACAGAGUCCUACGGGAGGCAGCAGUAGGGACUCUUCCGAACUGGGCGGAAGAUUGCACGAGCAAUGCAGCGUGAGUGCUGAAGGUCUUCGGAUCGUAAGACUCUCUUAUUAGGGAAGACCACUUGUGUACGUAACUAUGCACGUCUUGACGGUACCUAAUAAGAAAGCCACGGCUAACUACGUG
rnacentral:rRNA from 1 species